UAGAACGCUAAGCCACAGCGACCAAUAGUCUUCCAGACCUCAGGAUUCUAUUCUUCAGCUUUUUAGAAGGAGCCAUGUUUUUUUCCCGAACUGAUAGUUUAAACUGAUGAUGCUCUCCUGAUGCAUGGCAGACGGCGGUGCCUGUGUCUCUGAGAACACCAUGUGAACACCAUGUGUAGGGUGCCGUCUUUCGGAUGGGACGUUAAACGGGUGUCCUGACUCUCUGAGGUCAUUAAAGAUCCCAUGGCACUUGUCGUAAGAGUAGAGGUGUUAACCCCGGUGUCCUGGCUAAAUUCCCAAAUCUGACCCUCAAACCAUCAUGGUCACCUAAUAAUCCCCAGUUUACAAUUGGCUCAUUAAUCCCCCUCCUCUCCCCUGUAACUAUUCCCCAGGUCGUUGCUGCAAAUGAGAACAUGUUCUCAGUCAACUUACCUGGUAAAAUAACGGAUAAAUAAAAAAUAAAAUAAAAUCUCUGUGCCUGAGAACACAUGUGUUCUCCAACACACCAUUCAUCAGAGAAGCCAUAUCUGUGACCACAUGUUUGUGCUAAUCAAGAGCAAGGUAAUGUUUGUGCUAAACAAUAGCAAGGUAAUGUUUGUGCUAAACAAGAGUAAGGUAAUGUUUGUGCUAAACAAUAGUAAGGUAAUGUUUGUGCUAAACAAUAGUAAGGUAAUGUUUGUGCUAAACAAGAGCAAGGUAAUGUUUGUGCUAAACAAUAGCAAGGUAAUGUUUGUGCUAAUAAAGAGCAAGGUAAUGUUGAUGCUAAUCAAGAGCAAGGUAAUGUUUGUGCUAAACAAUAGCAAGGUAAUGUUUGUGCUAAACAAGAGCAAGGUAAUGUUUAUGAUAAUCAAGAGCAAGGUAAUAUUGAUUAGAAGGUCUUUAUUUCAGAACCAUUGUGUAGCAUGUAUACAGCUCCAUUCAGCACAUAGUAAUGAAUGCCUAACUUUGCUCACUCCUACUAUAGGGUAUAGGGUACCACACUCAGAUACACAUAACAGCAGCGCCAUCUAUUGGCUUGGCGACGUCUCGUAACAACCACGUAGAGAUAGUGUGAGUUCUAUCCUACAUGUACAUUCAUUGACUUGAUUAACUUGGCAUAUUAACUUUAUGAUGUGUUGCUUUUACAUGGUUCACGUUAUUAUUGGGUAACUACCGUUGUACCAUGACAUUUCUACGUCAUCAAAUAUGUCAUCAAAUGUUUUUUUUUUCACAAAACGAUGUAUGUAGGAUCUUAAUUUGAGCCAGUAUGCUACGUCAUGAAAAUAAUCCCGCAGCUACAGGAAAUGUGAAUUAUGUGGAUUAUAAUUAAGGUUAGAUUUUUUUGAUUACCACCAAGAACACUCUGCCUGAAUCCAGACUCUGAAAUGGGCAAGAAGAUACAGACUGAGUGGGUCCAGAAGAACUGACCCAAACAUGAUAUGUAAACCAUGUUGUAUAGUUCCUUCUCUUCUUCUUUUUCUUCUUCUUCUUGUGAGAGACUGUGUGACCUAUCUGGCCAGAGGCAAGUUAAGGUUCUCUAUGGGCUCUAAAUUAAAAUGUUUCAUUGGUAGGACUGGUGCUCCCAACUUUAAAAAGUGAGGAGGACAAAAUAAAAUCUAGGAGCACGAGAAAA